GAUGAACGCUAGCGGCAGGCUUAAUACAUGCAAGUCGAGGGGUAGCAAGAUUGUAGCAAUACAAUUGUUGACGACCGGCAAACGGGUGCGGAACACGUACACAACCUUCCUACAAGUGGGGAAUAGCCCAGAGAAAUUUGGAUUAAUACACCGUAACAUAGCGCUGUGGCAUCACAUUGCUAUUAUAGCUUCGGCGCUUGUUGAUGGGUGUGCGGCUGAUUAGAUAGUUGGCGGGGUAACGGCACACCAAGUCUACGAUCAGUAGCUGAUGUGAGAGCAUGAUCAGCCACACGGGCACUGAGACACGGGCCCGACUCCUACGGGAGGCAGCAGUAAGGAAUAUUGGACAAUGGACGCAAGUCUGAUCCAGCCAUGCCGCGUGAAGGAUUAAGGUCCUCUGGAUUGUAAACUUCUUUUAUAAGGGACGAAAAAAGGUCUUUCUAGAUCGUCUGACGGUACCUUAUGAAUAAGCACCGGCUAACUCCGUGCCAGCAGCCGCCGUAACAC
rnacentral:rRNA from 1 species